rnacentral:rRNA from 1 species
AUUGAACGCUGGCGGCAGGCCUAACACAUGCAAGUCGAGCGGAUGAAGGGAGCUUGCUCCUGGAUUCAGCGGCGGACGGGUGAGUAAUGCCCAGGAAUCUGCCUGGUAGUGGGGGAUAACGUCCGGAAACGGGCGCUAAUACCGCAUACGUCCUGAGGGAGAAAGUGGGGGAUCUUCGGACCUCACGCUAUCAGAUGAGCCUAGGUCGGAUUAGCUAGUUGGUGGGGUAAAGGCCUACCAAGGCGACGAUCCGUAACUGGUCUGAGAGGAUGAUCAGUCACACUGGAACUGAGACACGGUCCAGACUCCUACGGGAGGCAGCAGUGGGGAAUAUUGGACAAUGGGCGAAAGCCUGAUCCAGCCAUGCCGCGUGUGUGAAGAAGGGCUUCGGAUUGUAAAGCACUUUAAGUUGGGAGGAAGGGCAGUAAGUUAAUACCUUGCUGUUUUGACGUUACCAACAGAAUAAGCACCGGCUAACUUCGUG